GGUCAUAGUGAUCCGGUGGUUCUGAAAUGGGAAGGGUCCAUCGCUCAAACGGGNUUAAAAGGGUACUCCGGGGAUAACAGGCUGAUACCGCCCAAGAGUUCAUAUCGACGCGGUGUUUGGCACCUCGAUGUCGGCUCAUNACAUCCUGGGGCUGAAGUCGGUCCAAGGGUAUGGCUGUUCGCCAUUUUAAAGUGGUACGCGAGCUGGGUUCAGAACGUCGUGAGACAGUUCGGUCCCUAUCUGCCGUGGGCGUUGGAUGAUUGAAGGGAGUUGCUCCUAGUACGAGAGGACCGGAGUGAACGAACCUCUGGUGUUCGGGUUGUCACGCCAGUGGCACUGCCCGGUAGCUAAGUUCGGAAUCGAUAACCGCUGAAAGCAUCUAAGCGGGAAGCGAGCCCUGAGAUGAGUCAUCCCUGACCCCUUGAGGGUCCUAAAGGGCCGUUGGAGACCACAACGUUGAUAGGUGGGGUGUGUAAGUGCAGCGAUGCAUUGAGCUAACCCAUACUAAUUACCCGUGAGGCUUAACCAUACAACACCCAAGAAGUGUUCUG
rnacentral:rRNA from 1 species